rnacentral:rRNA from 1 species
CUACGGGCGGCAGCAGUGGGGAAUAUUGCACAAUGGGCGCAAGCCUGAUGCAGCCAUGCCGCGUGUAUGAAGAAGGCCUUCGGGUUGUAAAGUACUUUCAGCGGGGAGGAAGGGAGUAAAGUUAAUACCUUUGCUCAUUGACGUUACCCGCAGAAGAAGCACCGGCUAACUCCGUGCCAGCAGCCGCGGUAAUACGGAGGGUGCAAGCGGUAAUCGGAAUUACUGGGCGUAAAGCGCACGCAGGCGGUUUGUUAAGUCAGAUGUGAAAUCCCCGGGCUCAAUCUGGGAACUGCAUCUGAUACUGGCAAGCUUGAGUCUCGUAGAGGGGGGUAGAAUUCCAGGUGUAGCGGUGAAAUGCGUAGAGAUCUGGAGGAAUACCGGUGGCGAAGGCGGCCCCCUGGACGAAGACUGACGCUCAGGUGCGAAAGCGUGGGGAGCAAACAGGAUUAGAUACCCGCGUAGUC